UACGUAGGGGGCAAACGUUGUCCGGAUUUACUGGGUGUAAAGGGUGCUCAGGCGGUUUUGUAAGUCAGAAGUGAAAUCCUAGGGCUUAACUCUGGAACUGCUUUUGAUACUGCAAGGCUUGAAUGUGGAAGAGGAGGAUGGAAUUUCUGGUGUAGCAGUGAAAUGCGUAGAUAUCAGAAAGAACACCAGUGGCGAAGGCG
rnacentral:rRNA from 1 species